rnacentral:rRNA from 1 species
GGAGGGUGCAAGCGUUAUCCGGAUUCACUGGGUUUAAAGGGUGCGUAGGUGGGUUGGUAAGUCAGUGGUGAAAUCCCCGAGCUUAACUUGGGAACUGCCAUUGAUACUAUCAGUCUUGAAUACCGUGGAGGUCAGCGGAAUAUGUCAUGUAGCGGUGAAAUGCUUAGAUAUGACAUAGAACACCAAUUGCGAAGGCAGCUGGCUACACGAAUAUUGACACUGAGGCACGAAAGCGUGGGGAUCAAACAGGAUUAGAUACCCUGGUAGUCCACGCCCUAAACUAUGGAUACUCGACAUACGCGAUACACUGUGUGUGUCUGAGCGAAAGCAUUAAGUAUCCCACCUGGGAAGUACGAUCGCAAGAUUGAA